UACGUAGGGUGCAAGCGUUGUCCGGAAUUAUUGGGCGUAAAGAGCUUGUAGGCGGUUUGUCGCGUCUGCUGUGAAAUUUCGGGGCUCAACCCCGAACUUGCAGUGGGUACGGGCAGACUAGAGUGUGGUAGGGGAGACUGGAAUUCCUGGUGUAGCGGUGAAAUGCGCAGAUAUCAGGAGGAACACCGGUGGCGAAGGCGGUUCUCUGGGCCUUACCUGACGCUGAGGAGCGAAAGCGUGGGGAGCGAACAGG
rnacentral:rRNA from 1 species